CAGGCGUGAUCUGAGGCCCAGUGCAGCGGUUCUGUUGCAGGGGUCAGCACGUCGGCCAGUGUCCAGCAAGUACUUCGGCGGUGGGUGGAGACUGCCGACUUCUGACUGCUGCUCACCGCUGCUAUCUCAAUCUUCAGCAGCGGCAGAAGCUGCUGAGCGGACAACAUGCGAGGACACUUGCUGUUGGUGCUGGUGGCUACGCUGACUGCAGGCGGCCCGGCGACCGAAGCACACCCAGCUGGCCCGGCGUCAGGCACGCAGACGGACCAUGCAGACGCGCGUCACCCGACUGACAUCCAGG